rnacentral:rRNA from 1 species
CCCUAUGGGGUGCAGCAGGCGAGAAAACUUUGCAAUGUGCGAAAGCACGACAAGGUUAAUCCGAGUGAUUUCUGCUAAAGGAAUCUUUUGUCAGUCCUAAAAACACUGAUGAAUAAGGGGUGGGCAAGUUCUGGUGUCAGCCGCCGCGGUAAAACCAGCACCUCAAGUGGUCAGGAUGAUUAUUGGGCCUAAAGCAUCCGUAGCCGGCUCUGUAAGUUUUCGGUUAAAUCCAUAUGCUCAACAUCUGGGCUGCCGGGAAUACUGCAGAGCUAGGGAGUGGGAGAGGUAGACGGUACUCGGUAGGAAGGGGUAAAAUCCUUUGAUCUAUUGAUGACCACCUGUGGCGAAGGCGGUCUACCAGAACACGUCCGACGGUGAGGGAUGAAAGCUGGGGGAGCAAACCGGAUUAGAUACCCGGGUAGUCCCAGCUGUAAACUAUGCAAACUCAGUGAUGCACUGGCUUGUGGCCAGUGCAGUGCUGCAGGGAAGCCGUUAAGUUUGCCGCCUGGGAAGUACGUACGCAAGUAUGAAACUUAAAGGAAUUGGCGGGGGAGCACCACAAGGGGUGAAGCCUGCGGUUCAAUUGGAGUCAACGCCAGAAAUCUUACCCGGAGAGACAGCAGAAUGAAGGUCAAGCUGAAGACUUUACCAGACAAGCUGAGAGGAAGUGCAUGGCCAA